AACGAACGCUGGCGGCAGGCUUAACACAUGCAAGUCGAACGCCCCGCAAGGGGAGCGGCAGACGGGUGAGUAACGCGUGGGAAUCUACCGUACCCUACGGAAUAACGCAUGGAAACGUGUGCUAAUACCGUAUACGCCCUUAGGGGGAAAGAUUUAUCGGGGUAUGAUGAGCCCGCGUUGGAUUAGCUAGUUGGUGGGGUAAAGGCCUACCAAGGCGACGAUCCAUAGCUGGUCUGAGAGGAUGAUCAGCCACAUUGGGACUGAGACACGGCCCAAACUCCUACGGGAGGCAGCAGUGGGGAAUAUUGGACAAUGGGCGCAAGCCUGAUCCAGCCAUGCCGCGUGAGUGAUGAAGGUCUUAGGAUUGUAAAGCUCUUUCACCGAUGAAGAUAAUGACGGUAGUCGGAGAAGAAGCCCCGGCUAACUUCGUGCCAGCCGCCGCGGUAAAAC
rnacentral:rRNA from 1 species